AGAUUCGCAUGGGCGAGCCUGACGGAGCAACGCCGCGUGAGUGAUGAAGGUCUUCGGAUCGUAAAACUCUGUUAUUAGGGAAGAACAAAUGUGUAAGUAACUAUGCACGUCUUGACGGUACCUAAUCAGAAAGCCACGGCUAACUACGUGCCAGCAGCCGCGGUAAUACGUAGGUGGCAAGCGUUAUCCGGAAUUAUUGGGCGUAAAGCGCGCGUAGGCGGUUUUUUAAGUCUGAUGUGAAAGCCCACGGCUCAACCGUGGAGGGUCAUUGGAAACUGGAAAACUUGAGUGCAGAAAAGGAAAGUGGAAUUCCAUGUGUAGCGGUGAAAUGCGCAAAGAUAUGGAGGAACACCAGUGGCGAAGGCGACUUUCUGGUCUGUAACUGACGCUGAUGUGCGAAAGCGUGGGGAUCAAACAGGAUUAGAUACCCUGGUAGUCCACGCCGUAAACGAUGAGUGCUAAGUGUUAGGGGGUUUCCGCCCCUUAGUGCUGCAGCUAACGCAUUAAGCACUCCGCCUGGGGAGUACGACCGCAAGGUUGAAACUCAAUGAAAAUUGACGGA
rnacentral:rRNA from 1 species